GUCGAGCCCAGGAUACAAAUAUCCGCCAAAGGAACACUUUACUUCUCAUAUGUUAACAUCAUGGACACUGCGGUAUACAAGUGCGGCGUCACCACCUCGUCUACCAUACAACUCGGUAGUCCGGUCCAACUGAACGUCACGAAAGGUAACGUCGCAGACACGUGGCCAGUACUCAUGUAUUCGAGCGAGACAACGGACGCUACACAGGGACAGGCUGUAACACAACAGUGUAUCUUCAG